UUCGAUGCCAUUUUUAAUAUUAAUUUAAAAUUAAAGUAUAACAAAAAUCUAAAUUUUUGAUCAAUGAUGAAAGAUAAAUAGCAAUUGUAUAUAUAGAAAUGGAAAAAGAAACAAUCCUUACUUUUGAAAUGACGAUAUUUAUUGACACGAAGUAGAGAUUGUAAGAAAAAGUGAUAAUAAAAAGUACAUUUUUGAGUACAUUAUAUUUUUCGAGUCAGUAUGAGGAAAGAUAUAGCGUAAGACAUUGCGUUUCUUUAAAAUAUAGUAAUGAAUAGGGGAAAAAAAUUAGAAUAUGUCAUUGAAUAAUUUUGAUAUCGAGCAUACAUCGAAAUAGAAUGAAUUUAUGGAUAAUAGUAAUGAUGAAAAAUCUAUGUCUGGGAAUUCUCUAGCUUCAAAAUUAUCGGAAAAGAUUGAUAAAUAUGGUGUCAAUGAAUCUUAAAACAACGGAUGAAAAUAAUAAAAAGAAAUACUUGAAUGGUAUCAUAAGUAGCAAUGACAUAACGAAGUGAUACUAAACGAUGAUUCAAACAAUCAUUUAAAAAAUGAAAAAUUCGAAGUAAAAUACAAUUAUCUAUCUAUUUUUAACAAUCACUAUCGAUAUAUCUUUAACAAACUUGUCAAUGUGAUGGAUACUCAAAAAAAAAAAAAAAAAAAAAGAAAAAAAAAGGAAAAAAAAAAGAAAAAAAAAAGAAGAAAGAAAAAGUAAAAGGAAAUACUUCAUCCUAUCGUUAUUACAUAUUUUCAUUUUAUUUAAUAUUACAAUAAUAAAUAAACAAAAAAACAAUUUUCAAUUAAUAUUACUCUAAUAAUUCAUAAGAUCCGUUAUUUUGACGGGUUUAAAAGUUUUAACGUUAAUCUACUUAAAAUGUAAAAAAUAUAUCAUUAGAAUGCAAAUUUAGCUGAUUUAAAAGAUAAUAUAUUUCUUCUUUUUUUUUUUUUUUUUAAAGUUACAUAUUUUUAACACGAAUCACAUUUUGACGUUAAUCGAUGUAACGAUUUGCAUAACUAUACUUGAAGCAUCGAUAAUUGGUUUUUAGAGAGGAAUAUGGGAGCUACUGGAUUUUUAUAAUAAGAUGAUAAAUGCAAAUUUAACGAUAUUAUUUAUAAGCGUCUUGUAAGGGCUUCGAUGUGUACGAAAUUUAUUAGCACCCGCCAUUUUAUAUAAAUAUCGACAACUAUAAUCGUCUCUUCCUAUUCCUAACUUUAUUUAAACGAGUGAGUACAAAAAAUUAGCAUAUAUGUAUCAAUCAAUAAGGAAAGUAACAUAGAUAUUAUGUAAUGUAUUAUCACGCGCAUUAAGUCGUUUAAUCAGAAUUAAAUCUUAUAUAUUUGUAAAACUUUGACGAAUUAUUAAAUCAUAUACGAUAUGAUAUAUUUAUAAAACUAAAAUGAAUCAUUGGCUGAUACUUGGAUUACUUUAUAAAAAAUGUUGUAAUCUAAGCGAUCUUUUCCCGGUUCUUUUUUUUUUUUUUUUUUAAUUGCCUUUUUUCCCUCUUUUCUUAUUUCCUCCUUUCUUAUUUUUUCUUUUUUUUCUCCCCCCCGUAUAGACUUGCGUAAUAAUCAUUUCUCGAUAUGAAUGGAAAUUCCGUCCUGGUACGAUGAUACGACAACGAUAUAAACAAUAUAAACAAUAUAAAUAACUGAACGAUAAGAUUGAGAGGGAUGGUAUUUUUGAAAGAAAAUAUAAAGUACCGUGAUAAUUGACGAUGAGCGUGUAAUUUUUCUUGGAAAAAAGACUUUAUUAUUGCACAAAAGUGCAAACAAAGUAGUGACCGUUCACUACUUUGUUUGCACUUUUGUAGAUUUAAUUGAUUAUAUUAAGUUUUGUCAUGACGAACGUGAUGAAGUUGCGUAUUUCUAAAGAAUAUGAUGUGCAUUUUACAGAUUUGUUUCCUUUAUACAGAAUAUAUCCAUAUAUAGAUGUAAAAGCAAAUAUU